rnacentral:rRNA from 1 species
CCUACGGGAGGCAGCAGUGGGGAAUAUUGCACAAUGGGGGAAACCCUGAUGCAGCAACGCCGCGUGAGUGAUGAAGUAUUUCGGUAUGUAAAGCUCUAUCAGCAGGGAAGAAAAUGACGGUAACUGACUAAGAAGCCCCCGCUAACUACGUGCCAGCAGCCGCGGUAAUACGUAGGGGGCAAGCGUUAUCCGGAUUUACUGGGUGUAAAGGGAGCGUAGACGGCGGUGCAAGUCAGAUGUGAAAGCCCGGGGCUCAACCGCGGGACUGCAUUUGAAACUGUGCUGCUAGAGUGUCGGAGAGGCAGGAGGAAUUCCUAGUGUAGCGGUGAAAUGCGUAGAUAUUAGGAGGAACACCAGUGGCGAAGGCGGCUUGCUGGACGGUGACUGACGUUGAGGCUCGAAAGCGUGGGGAGCAAACAGGAUUAGAUACCCGAGUAGUC